rnacentral:misc_RNA from 1 species
AACCAUAGAAACCUGCGGAGUACCUGCGGAGGGAUCAUUAUAGUAUAUGGAAUCUCCAUUCUAUAAACCCACUCUGCGUAUCUUGUAACUGUUGCUUCCAUGGGACUUGGUUCCGCCACACCGGCUUCACGGCUGGUGAGCGCCCAUGGAGGGAGAAACAAAACUCUUCUUUGAAAUGUAGUCAGUCUGAACAAGUUUUUAUAAACGUUAAAACUUUCAGCAAUGGAUCUCAGAUCGGAA